rnacentral:rRNA from 1 species
UGAGUACGAGCGGCUACGGCCGCGAAGUGGGUGAUGUCAAGCUUCCAAGAAAAGCCCUAUACCCGUUAAGGCAUGAUGGCCUGUACCCGAAACCGACACAGGUGGGGUGGUAGAGAAUACCGAGGGGCGCGAGGUAACUCUCUCUAAGGAACUCGGCAAAAUGGCCCCGUAACUUCGGGAGAAGGGGUGCCACCGCGAGGUGGUCGCAGUGAAGAAGCCCAGGCGACUGUUUACCAAAAACACAGGUCUCCGCUAAGUCGCAAGACGAUGUAUGGGGGCUGACGCCUGCCCAGUGCCGGAAGGUUAAGGAAGCUGGUCAGCGCAAGCGAAGCUGGCGACUGAAGCCCCGGUGAACGGCGGCCGUAACGAUAACGGUCCUAAGGUAGCGAAAUUCCUUGUCGGGUAAGUUCCGACCCGCACGAAAGGCGUAACGAUCUGGGCGCUGUCUCGGAGAGAGGCUCGGCGGAAUAGAAUUGUCUGUGAAGAUGCGGACUACGUGCACCCGGACAGAAAGACCCUAUGAAGCUUUACUGUAGCUUGGUAUUGUGCUCGGGCUCGGAAUGCGCAGGAUAGGUGGGAGGCUUUGAUCCAUUGCUUGCGGGUGAUGGUGUGCCACUGGUGAGAUACCACUCUUUCCGAGCUAGAGUUCUAACAGCGACCCGUUAUCCGGGUGCUGGACAGUAUCAGGUGGGCAGUUUGACUGGGGCGGUCGCCUCCUAAAAGGUAACGGAGGCGCGCAAAGGUCUGCUCAGGCUGGUUGGAAAUCAGCCGACGAGUGUAAAAGCAGAAGCAGGCUUGACUGUGAGACCUACAAGUCGAACAGGGAGGAAACUCGGCUUUAGUGAUCCGACGGUUCUGCGUGGAAGGGCCGUCGCUCAACGGAUAAAAGUUACUCUAGGAUAACAGGCUGAUCUCCCCCAAGAGUUCACAUCGACGGGGAGGUUUGGCACCUCGAUGUCGGCUCAUCGCAACCUGGGGCUGAAGUCGGUCCCAAGGGUUGGGCUGUUCGCCCAUUAAAGCGGUACGCGAGCUGGGUUCAGAACGUCGUGAGACAGUUCGGUCCAUAUCCGGUGCACGCGCAGGAAUAUUGAGAGGAUUUCUCCCUAGUACGAGAGGACCGGGAGGAACGCACCUCUGGUGUGCCAGUUAUCGUGCCAACGGUAAACGCUGGGUAGCCAUGUGCGGAGUGGAUAACCGCUGAAAGCAUCUAAGUGGGAAGCCCACCUCAAGAUGAGUAUUCCCAUGGGGUAACCCAGUAAGGUCACGGGAAGAACACCCGUUGAUAGGCUCUACGUGGAAGCGCAGUAAUGUGUGAAGCGGAGGAGUACUAAUAGACCGAGGGC